UCUGGACUGCAGUCACUUCCCCAUCAAAGGGUCUCCUACGGAAGAACUUUGCGCACGCUUAAUGGUUUCACCGCAUCCGCCUGGCUCCUCGGUCGACGUGCUAUCGGGAACACCACGGGCAGGGACUAACCCCCAGAAACACCACCGGCGCCCGGAUCCGACCCGACGCACGCUCUCUCGGUCCGGAUGUCUCCGGGAUUACACCACGACUCUCCCAUCCUCCUUCAAGGGAGAUUCCAUCUGCUUCCCGGGAUCGGGCGAGAGAAGACAGGACUCGACGGUUAAAGAUGGAAAUGGCCUCCUUAGGAGGAGCGAUUCACCAGAAGGAAAAAGAAAACCACAGCCAGGAAGGGCAGAUCAGUGGGAAAUCAGUUGGAGGGACAGAAGGUAAAUGGAGACAAAAACAUCGGCAUCGAAGAGGGGACUAAAGGCGCGGAACGACGUGCUCGUGUUUUACCGGGAAGUGUGACAUCCAAUGAACUCUACCGACCCCCGAGUAGUGAUACCUUGAAUUUUUGAAGGGCUAUCAUUUCAAAUCAUUACGACAUGCAUUAACCUG